GACGAACGCUGGCGGCGUGCUUAACACAUGCAAGUCGAACGGAAAGGCCCUGCUUGCAGGGUACUCGAGUGGCGAACGGGUGAGUAACACGUGGGUGAUCUGCCCUGCACUUCGGGAUAAGCCUGGGAAACUGGGUCUAAUACCGGAUAGGAGCCAUUUUUAGUGUGAUGGUUUGAAAGUUUUUUCGGUGUAGGAUGAGCUCGCGGCCUAUCAGCUUGUUGGUGGGGUAAUGGCCUACCAAGGCGGCGACGGGUAGCCGGCCUGAGAGGGUGGACGGCCACAUUGGGACUGAGAUACGGCCCAGACUCCUACGGGAGGCAGCAGUGGGGAAUAUUGCACAAUGGGCGCAAGCCUGAUGCAGCGACGCCGCGUGGGGGAUGACGGCCUUCGGGUUGUAAACUCCUUUCGCUAGGGACGAAGCUUUUUGUGACGGUACCUAGAUAAGAAGCACCGGCUAACUACGUG
rnacentral:rRNA from 1 species